AUAUCAUACUUGGGAACAUCCUCCGAGCGUCUCGAGACAUGUUCCGCAAGAUGGUUCAUUUCGUCGGACACAGCUGAUAGUCUCUGUUGGAGUGUUUCUAGUGCUAUGUCUGCCAUGUGUUUGUUGACCAAACCUUCCAUUCGUCGCUGCAUCGACCAGCUAGAAGUAUCUCCAUUAUUAUGCUCCAUAAAUAUCUCAACCUGUCGAUCUCCUAAACGCAGGGAUGACUGGGGCCUUCAGCAAGUAAGACACUGUAAGACACUGGGAGGAGCAAUAUGAGUCUGAGGUCGUCACGUUGAUGGGGAUGGUGAUGGAGGCUUUGGUGGUCCACACAACGAAGAAGCAGGGGUCCCUUCUAGGGAUGUGGAGCUGACCUGGUGCCAGUAAAGAUGGUCUUUAUGGAGGCUGUAAGACCUUCCCUCCUUGAUAUAGAAAUGCUUCGACUUUGCUUCCUCUUCAAUGGUAAGGUUUCUUGCACCAUAGGGACACUUGACCACCACCACUGCUGCUAUGAUGCCCACCAGACCAUCCAAUGAGGCACCCAGGAUCCCAGACCUUGUGACCCAAAACCCUGACUCCUGCACAUCCAUCCCUGUACCCAUUUGAAUGCCUUGAUGCCCUGCUCUUUUAUCAGUGCCCCACAUUACCAACAACACUUUAUUCAAUGACUGAUCUGAGGACCCUUUUUAGCAGUGAUAGAGUAACGCGCUUGGCCCGAACCACUGCUCCAUAAUUGCUCUCUCCUCAUGAUGUGCCAUUUGGGGUUGGUGCACUGUCCUGUUAGCGUAUAGCCUACUGCUCCUCCACUGACAGCAACAUGCCAGCCAGGAUGCCUGCAUGCCCCAGGUGCCCUUGUUUUUUAACAAUAUCCGGUACAGACAGGGAGGGUAGCGGUUGUUCUGGCUCAGGUUCAAAGAAACAUGCCGUUCCACUGAACCUGCCCCGGAGUCAGUUCCUUAGCCAAGAUCCUCCUCUGUGGGCUCUCGGGAAAGAGGGUUGUAGUCUUCGGCCAGGUACAGGUCUUCCACUGACUGCACCUGGUUGGGCACGGCUGGCUUCCUCCACUCACAUUCCACAUCCGUAUGGCUGAUAUGAACUGCCAAAAUAGGCUGCAUGGCUACAUUCAUGAGCUCCACGGAGGCAUUCGCAUGUGGUAGAGAGAAUCCCCUGGUCACCUAUAGAGACCUGCCUAGAGGAAGGAUUUCGCUACACUUGCAUUAACAUCUGUUAACCAUGUAUAUGUGACCAAUAACAUUUCAUUUGAUUCGAUUUUUUUUAAGGAAAAAUCCACCCAAAACCACUCAUUCCUUUAAUUUACAGUGUUAAAUAACACUAAUAUGUAAAAACAAUAUAUUUGGUGAACACAUGUUUUAUUUUGGCUUCAUAAUAAGGUUGGUAGCAACAUGGAAAAUCAUUGUGGAAAUCUGUUGCUCAAGUCGACUACAAAAUCCACAAUGCAAUGCUCUCUCAUGGGCUUGCUGGCUGGCUAGCUUUGAGCUAGCUAGCAAGCAAAUGUAACCAUACACAAUAAAAAAACACAAUAUCAGCAUGUAAAGUAGAUAGUUAGUGCAGUUUCUUUUGGAAAUUUUCGGGCUAUCAAUUUAGAAGUCUACAAUCUCACCAUGUUCCACCUGCAGAUCGAUGUGCGUCACAGAAUGGAGUCUAGUAUUUGCAAGGCAGAUAUACUUUUGAGGAGAUGGGAAUCGUUGCCCAUGCUCGUCAAUGGACCGCGCGGUGCAUUCUGGGAAAUGGAAUUGUAACAUGCUUUCGUGGAAAAUUGGCACGUUCCUCGACAUACUUUGAGAAGGGAGUGCAUGACGAUUAGCUUAGCAACCGCGUGAUACAGCAUGAAAAUGUGAACGUGAUUGGUCUACAGUCUGCUGGAUGGGGCGUUAUACGUUCCUUCAUUCACGCUCCUUCAUUUAUCUCCUUUCUAUAAUAUCUCUGGAAACAGCACCAUGCAAUGCACCCUGGACUGAACAGGCAGACAAAUAUGAAAAAUGUGCUAGACACUAUUAAAUUACACAUUUCUCGAGUUAGGUACAGUCGUGGCCAAAAGUUUUGAGAAUGACACAAAUGUUAAUUUCCACAAAGUUUGCUG